UACGUAGGGAGCAAGCGUUGUCCGGAAUCAUUGGGCGUAAAGCGCGCGUAGGUGGCCUCAUAAGUCCGCUGUGAAAGUCAAAGGCUCGACCUUUGAAAGCCGGUGGAUACUGUGAGGCUAGAGUACGGAAGAGGCGAGUGGAAUUCCUGGUGUAGCGGUGGAAUGCGCAGAUAUCAGGAGGAACACCAAUAGCGAAGGCAGCUCGCUGGGACGUUACUGACACUGAGGCGCGAAAGCGUGGGGAGCGAACAGG
rnacentral:rRNA from 1 species